rnacentral:sRNA from 1 species
CGGUUUCGGUGACCGUGUUGUUGCUCGGAUUUUGAUCCUCCACCGUUGCCUCGCCUGGCGCAGUGAGGGUGCUGUUCAC